rnacentral:rRNA from 1 species
UACGUAGGGUGCGAGCGUUAAUCGGAAUUACUGGGCGUAAAGAGUGCGUAGGUGGUUAAUUAAGUUAUCUGUGAAAUCCCUGGGCUUAACCUGGGCAGGUCAGAUAAUACUGAUUGACUCGAGUAUGGGAGAGGGUAGUGGAAUUUCCGGUGUAGCGGUGAAAUGCGUAGAGAUCGGAAGGAACACCAGUGGCGAAGGCGGCUACCUGGCCUAAUACUGACACUGAGGCACGAAAGCGUGGGGAGCAAACAGG